rnacentral:rRNA from 1 species
UACGUAGGGAGCAAGCGUUGUUCGGAUUUACUGGGCGUAAAGGGCGCGUAGGCGGCGCGGUAAGUCACUUGUGAAAUCUCUGAGCUUAACUCAGAACGGCCAAGUGAUACUGCAGUGCUAGAGUGCAGAAGGGGCAAUCGGAAUUCUUGGUGUAGCGGUGAAAUGCGUAGAUAUCAAGAGGAACACCUGAGGUGAAGACGGAUUGCUAGGCUGACACUGACGCUGAGGCGCGAAAGCCAGGGGAGCAAACAGG